CCUGCCCUGUGAUUUUUUUAACGGCCGCAGUACUUUGACUGUGCUAAGGUAGCAUAAUAAAUUGGCUUUUAAUUGAGGUCGAGUAUGAAAGGGAUCAUGGGAAGAAACUGUCUCCAUAAAAUUAUAUAAAAUUUACUUAGUAGGUGAAAAUACCUACGACUACUACUUUAGACGAGAAGACCCUUAGAAUUACAGUUAAUGAAAUAAUAUUAUUUCUUUGCUUUUGUUGGGGCAACAUUGUUAGGAAAUAACCAACAUUUUUAUAAAGUUUAUAUGACUUUUUUUUAACAGAAAGAUAUAAAUUACCUUAGGGAUAACAGCAUAAUUAUAUUUAUAGAUUGUGACCUCGAUGUUGGACUAGGGACUUUAAUUAUUAGCCAUUAUUAAAGAUAGUUCUGUUCGAACUGUAACACCCU
rnacentral:rRNA from 1 species